rnacentral:sRNA from 1 species
GUACGCAUCCUAAGUUCGCCGCGUCCUGCGGCAACGGAUGCAUGAUCCACAUCCUGUGG